UAAGGAGGAUUAGAGGGGUCAGGCCCCUCGGGAGGGAAGCGGCCGGGGCGGGCACGGGGCUGGGGGAGGGAGGAGGGAAACGGCAGGGUCCGGAGCAGCCCCUCACCUCCUGCCCCAAAUCCUGCAGCGGGCCGCCCUCACCCCGACUUCCUAGCCAGCCUGCCUCUCCCUCCUGAUCCGUGGCAGUGGGGAGUCGGGGCUCCGGCCCAAGCGCCUUCCCCUAGGAGACCUCGGCGAAAUCCCGCAGCCUGCGGGGAGGGCGGCGGAGGGCAACGGCCGAAAGCGGGAGCCCCUGGGACUUCCUCCGGCCCGGGCUGCAGUGCCUUUGGCGGGUGCCCCGGGCCGGGGGUGAGGAGACCGCGCCACUGAGCCCCUUGGCGGGGCGUCGUGGGGGUGAAAGUCUUCAUGGGGUUGCGGUCUAAAGGCAGCGGCGAAAACGCGGAGCACAACACCUGCUCCCAUGGAAAUAGCGUCGGCGGGCACGUCAAACCCGGCCAAAGGGCCCACCGAACAUCCGCGGGUUCCAGGACAAUCUCCGAGGCCCGGGCAGAUUUCUCUCCUACGCAGGGGCCCGGGGUGGGGCGUCUGACCCGAAGGGGCCCUUCGAUUCCUUCCUCAGAUCCUCCCUCUAUGCCUGGGGCCCUCGGAGACCUGGGAGGACAAGCCCUUUGUUUUUUCCGAAAAAGAAACUGAGACUUGGAGCUAGUAAGUGGCAGAAGCGGCCUCCAAAUGGGGUGUUCCAAAUGGGAGCCUUCCUCCCAGGCUCCAAAGCAAGCAGCUCUUGCCUUUCCCCCCAAUCACAGCCCUGGUUCUAUAUCCAAUAGGUGUACCCUUCCAAGCCCCUGCCUGCCCCUCGACAAGACAGUACCCAGGAAAGAAGCCUUGUUUUCCUCCCCCAGCUGUGGCCAAGACCCUCACUGAAGACUGGUGCUCAGUGAGGACCGAAGGAAAGGGAUCUCAUUGAAAUAGAGCGAGCCCAAGAACAUCCCCCAACAAAGGCACCAACAUGGGUUAAAGGCCCUGUGCUGGAGUGAACCUGGAUCAGCUACCCCCAGAGGGGACAAUCGAAGUGGGGGCCCACUCCUAGCCAUUCAGGCCUUGUUCCCAUCCAUCCCCCAGAUGGAACUUGCUGGGGUGGGCCCAUCAAACCCUAUCUGCCCCCGCCCCCCAGACUAUGGGACGGAAAAAAGUGUUUUCUGGCCCUGUUUCUCACCAACACCACACAGAGGCCUGCUCACUGCUCUUUCACAAACAUGGUAAGAGGUACUUCCUCCUGGCCACCCCCAGCAAACAAUCCAGGAGUCAAUGGGUACCCCAAAUGGAUCCUCUCAGUCAUGGCUGCCAAGGGUGGGAAUGGAUUCUGGUGGCUGCUGGAUAAGGGAGCUCUCCAGCUGCCCACCAAGAUUUGGGCAGCAAGGGAAAGCCGUGGAUGCCUGUUUGAGCCAAGUGUCUGAGUCUGAUUCUCCAGAGUGGAGUCCAGCAAAAAGAUAGAGGCUGAACCAGAGCCCAGCUUGGGAAGGAACCUGGCUUGAGGAUUAGCUCAGGGUCACUCCACCCAAAGAAGAGAGUCCCAGUUUCCAGUCUCUUCUCUUACUGCAUAGAUCUAGGAAACAUUUGGAUCAAAAAUGUAAAACAGCCAAUCAUCAAGAAGCCCUGAAUGCCACUCCUCACCGCAACACCAUCACCUCAAAAGAGUUUCUCCCAUCCCAGUUAACAGGAUUUGCCCUAGGAAUCCUUCUGUGAUCUUCCCACCACCGAAGGGAAGAGGCCUUUCACUGACACGUCCACUGCCCAGGAGCCCAGUCCUUCCUGUGGGUUCAGAAUGUGUCAGCCAAACUUGGGGUUACAGAAGAAACUGCCUCAUUGUUGUCUGGUGCUAGAGCUCGUCUUGGCUCUCCGUGCCACUGUUCUCUGCAAACAACAGUCUCUGAAUGCCAGGAUACAUAGAGAGUGAAGGGAUAAGUGUGCGUGUGCUGGAUGUCAAUAUUCUAGCUAGAAAGAGCUACACCAGAGAUCUAACUGGUGGUACAGAAACAACAACCAGGCGCCCGAGGUGUGCCCAAGAAAUCAGGAGGCUUGGCAGAUGAGAGGGCAUUUGUGAAUCCUGCCUGUGACAGACCAAAGACUUUAUUUGUAAUGAGAGCCACAGAGGCUUCAUGAGUGGGGCUGACAGCAGCACCCGUGGAGGGGGCCUUGAAAAACAGCUCCUCCGAUAUCCAGAGAUGGACUUGGAGCAGAAAAGAAGAUUGGCUCAUUUAAGAGAGGAGCAGUGAGAUGAUAUGGCUGACUGGCCCCAGGUGGGAGAGCUAGCAAAUAGCCCACACAAGAUGCUAAACCUGCCCUGACUCCAAGCCAGGACUCUUUCUCCCGUACCAUGUGGCCUUCAAGUACAGAUUCUUCUGUCUAGCACCUCAAACCUUCCACCACUGGGCAGCUGCCUGCCCAUGCAGAUCAGGAGCAAUGAAUGGAAGUUGCCAAAAGGCAAGUUCCAGUUCAGUGGAAGAAGAAAAACCAAGCCCUUUUUGAUGAGGAGAGCCGUGGAAUAAGCUACCUUGGGGAGACCUUUGAACAAAGGCCAAAUGACUGCUUUCUGGAGCUCUUGGCUGUGCAUCUUUUCACAUAGACUUUAGACUUCUGGUUA